CCCUCUUAUCAACACAGUUCUGUACAGCGUGCUCUCUUGUCUCUGGCAUCUAGAGUACUACAGUGACUCAGACUCAGUGGGGGCCAGU
ensembl:ncRNA F41D9.12 ncRNA